UGUUAACCAAUCCGAUUGAUUUUCCCGCGUGAUUUUACUAGCUCAGUUUUUGGGUCAGCACAAUUGCAUGUAAGACAAUUACAAGAUAGAAAAGAAUCCAAUAGAUGAACCACCCCAAUGAGAAUUGAAAAUAUAAGCAAACCGAGGUCGGGUAGUCACGGUUUACCCGUACUAAUCAAAUGCGUGGUUUAAUCAUAAGAAAUAUCAAACUGAUAUAUUUGUUUUUUUUUUGUCGUCAACAAAUAGACUCAUAUAGACUAUGUGAACCAAACUGGUAGUUCCGCAUCCAUGUGAAGGACGAAAGACAAUUGUUUCCUUGCACAUCGUGCUAAGCUAUCCGCCUUUUGGUUCUCCGUUCGGGGUACAUGAAUGAUCUUUGAACUAAUAAAACUUGUCUUCAGUAACAUUAUAUCGUGCAGGUAACUCUCAAACGCCGGCCACUCCUCUGGUUCCGAAACCAUCUUCACCAAUUGAGUACAAUCCGUAGCAAAUGUAACCUGAAACUGAUGCAAAUUCCUCAUGCAUUGCAUUGCCCAUAUCAAUGCUUCCAUUUCCGCAUGGAGAGGUGACAGACAUGCCCUAGUAUUCUUAGCCCCCAACAAACCCUGGAAACCCUCGAGUGUACUAUACCAUCCUUGACCUGAAUAAGGCUCUUUGUCUUUCCAGGAGCCAUCUAUAAAGCACCAACGACUUACCCUCAGCUGACGGUACAAAACCUCACCCUGUUGUGUUAGUUGUUUUGUCUUCAACACCUGAGCUUCCGCCCAAAGCGUUGAUUCGGUUUCCACAAGCUUAAUUGUCUCCCUUGGGUCAAUAUCCAAAUUACUGAACACCUUAUUAUUCCUUCUUUUCCAAAUAUACCAUAAUAACCACGCAAAAAGAUGAUCCUCCAUUUUCGGGAGUACCCUCCAAAAGAGGUGAUAUAUUUGUUUCAUUGCAUAUUUUAGACGUAAACAAAUACAGUUUUAUAACACUUUUACACACUUAAACACGGGCUCACAAUUAUUGUUUUGUGUGAUUAGUUAUUACAUGCUUUAGUUGAAGUGUGAAGUGUAAACCUUCCCCAUACAUGCAAAUAUCCAGUGACGGAUAGAAUAACGAUUUUGGUGUAAUACUCAAAACAAAUUAUGAAUUUAUACUUUUUUGUAAUAUGAAGUGAAUACACGUUUUACCUUAAAAAUCGAUGUAUAUAAACAUCUUUGUUGGUUUUAAAUCUGUCUUAGUGAUAUCAACGACUAAAGUAUUUAUAAAAAACGUAUUGUCCACGAAAAUGAGCCGGAAAUGUUUAGAGAAUAAUUUUAUGCAUACGCCGUACCAAUUUGUUUGAUAAUAUUUCGGAAUAAACUUCAUGCAUCUAAUCUAUUAAUUUAGAGUACUAAUUUUAUCUACCGUUGAAAGUUGUCAUUUAAAUUUUGGACUUUUUCAUAAAUGGUACAAGAAUAUAUCAUGCUACUUUAAAAAUGCAACCUACCUACUUAAACUAAACCAACUUCUGUUAAUAAACUUAACCAGUGUCAUAUUAAAAAUACCUUUGGUUUUCUCUUAAUAGAAUAACUAGGUGGUAAUCUGCGCCUUUUUAGAAUAAAUAGACUAAAAGAAAUUAAACUUCAAUUUAUGCCACAAUAAUUGAGUCAAUCAAAAUAUAUUACUUCGCGAGAUCAGUGGCAUGGAUUAUUCACGAGAUUUGCCUGGACUACGAAAUUAAUUUUAGCUGCCAAUUUUAAAAGUAUGCAAAGUAAUAUAAUUAAGAAAUCAUAUAGGAAACAAUAUUAACUUUGAAAAUUAAGCUGAUCCAAUAUAACCAAAUUGACGUUUCUGACGUGUUGAUUCCUUAAUUUUAAAGUCUUGGUGCGUUAAGGGAUUAAAUGGUAUUUGUAAGUUUGUAUCGUCCAAUCAGUCAAAAGAUAAGAUUCAAUCGACGUCAUUAUCCAUGAUCAAUGCUUCUAUCAAAUCAAUUAGGGGUUAUAUGAUUAAUAUUCAUACACAAAUAGCAUUAUAUAAAUAUGAACCAUAAAUGUAACAUACCAAAACAAUAGUGAGGAAAAUGAAUGCUUCUUUAUAUAUAUAUAUAUAUAUAUAUAUAUAACAAAAUUAAUUCCAAGUAAAUGGUUAUAAAAUUUAAUAUUUUUGAACGCUUGUAACACACAAGAAAACAAUAUAUAAAACAUUAUGUAACAUACCAAAACAAUAGAUUAGUGAUUGCUUUCCAGAACUUUUUUAGUGGUUGUUUUGCAUGAUAGAGUCAACAAUAUGUAUAUAUAUUGGUAGGAUCAAAAAUAAAUUUAGUGCUAAAUAUGAAACAAGCUGAGAUUCUAGUCAACGAAAUUAAAUUCAAAAUCAAUCAGUGACGAUCAAAAAUAUUAAUAUAUGUUUUGGAUUCGACAGUGAAUUUCCAUUACCAAAUUCGGUCAAUAUUAAUGAGUACAUAUAUAACCGGAAUUAGUGUCAUAUUUAGCUUCAUAUUUCCUAAUUUGAAAUAUUCAUAUGGCAAUCAUACAUUGUCAUAAUUAUUACUUUUAAUCUAUAGAUAUUAGAAAUUCAAAAGUCACAAAUAUUAGAUAUAAUGAACUAUGGAACGAAAAUUUGCAUGUUUAUAUAAUGUAAGCUUAUUUGUUUUUCUUUUUAAGUUUGUGUAAUUGGUAGGUGCAAUUAACAAUAUCUUAUGGAAAAUCAAAUCUAUAAGACUAAUAUAAAUUUAUUAUGAAUUUAAGAAAAAAAACAUGAGAAACAUGAGUUUAGGGAUACCAGCUUUGCAACCAAAUCGCCAUAAUGAUAUCAAAAUCUCACUAUUUAAUUUUAUGUAACUUGCGCUCCACUACAAUUCUAAACUUGCCGUAAUUGUAAUAUUCGCUGAUAAAUCAAUGCAUCAAAAAAAUAUUACAUUAAUGAUUGCCAUAUGUAAUUCCAUGGUAGUAUUUCAAAUUUAUUUGUGUGUUUCAAAUUUAAGGAAAUCAUAGUUAAAAUCGUAUUGACUUGUUCAAAAAGUAUAUUAGAAUUUAAAACUACAUAAUUUAGGAAACAAUAGUUGUCAUAACAAUUUUACACCUACCAAAAAUACAAAAAAAUGAUACAAUCAAUAACUCCGGAAAUGUUUUCUCAGCAAAUGAAUUUCAUAGAAUCCCAUAAUAUUUAUAUAUUCAUGAAUACAAUUCAAUUUGGUUUGAUAGACACGAAACCGGUUUACUAAACCGAGCUGGGUGUUUGUUAAAAAUUUCUUUUAUAAUUUCAACAGAUUUCAAUUGAUGUACGAUAAAAUCUAUUAAUCUAUUUAUUCUAUUGAUAUAUGAUAAAAUCUAUUAACAAAAUAAUGGUUUAACUAUAUGGUUGACUUCAUAAUUCAUCACCAAUGAUUAAUAACAAUUGAGUCCUUAGAAAACUAUAUGCAUUUUGAUGCCAAGUCAAUUUUAGAUUAGCCCACCAAUUCACAAACACCUUAUUCAAGAUUUUGUAUACCCGGUCACGUAAGUAUAUUAUUUGUUAGAAUGUUUAGUAUGCAGGUGCAGUUAGUGUUCUGAAGUAUAUAUGGACAAAAUAUGAACUGUUUUUGUUAUAUUGCAGGUGCAGUUAGUGAUACGAAGAGAAGCAAACACGGUUUUGUAUAAGAGUGAAUUGGUGAUUAGGUGAUCAACGACCACCAAACCGAAGUUAAGGAAGAUAUUAGGAGUCAAGUAUCAGUUGUUGAAAAGGAGAUAUUGCAAGAGAUUGAAACGUCUCGCUCUGCAAUAGCCCGGGUUGAAAAGUAUA